rnacentral:rRNA from 1 species
CAGUCGCCACAGUAAUACGAAGGGGGCUAGCGUUGUUCGGAAUUACUGGGCGUAAAGCGCACGCAGGCGGCUCGAUAAGUUAGAAGUGAAAGCCUUGGGCUUAACCUGAGAAUUGCUUUUAAGACUGUCGAGCUAGAAUCCAGAAGAGGGUAGUGGAAUUCCGAGUGUAGAGGUGAAAUUCGUAGAUAUUCGGAAGAACACCAGUGGCGAAGGCGACUACCUGGUCUGGCAUUGACGCUCAUGUGCGAAAGCGUGGGGAGCAAACAGGAUUAGAUACCCCCGUAGUCCCUGUCUCUUAUAC